rnacentral:lncRNA from 1 species
UGCGAAAAAUGGGAAGGGGUAGGAGCGUGGAGGUGUAGGGGUGUAGGGAGAUUUAGAGUUUAAAAAAAAAUAGUUAAAUUAAUGUAGGAUUGUUUUGAAAUAAAAAAAAUAGUGGAGAUGUGCAGGAAGAUAUGGGUAGUGGAACGAGCAACACCUGAUUUUGAUUUGGCCAAUUGACCCUCCACCACCACCACCAAAUGCUCCCUGC